UACGGGGGGAGCAAGCGUUGUUCGGAUUUACUGGGCGUAAAGGGCGCGUAGGCGGCGUGGCAAGUCACUUGUGAAAUCUCCGGGCUUAACUCGGAACGGUCAAGUGAUACUGCUGUGCUAGAGUGCGGAAGGGGCAACUGGAAUUCUUGGUGUAGCGGUGAAUGCGUAGAUAUCGAGAGGAACACCUGCGGCGAAGGCGGGUAGCUGGGCCGACACUGACGCUGAUGCGCGAAAGCCAGGGGAGCGAACGGG
rnacentral:rRNA from 1 species